AAUAUAUAUACUUUAUGGGGUCGGAAACGUCUCCUUCACUGCGUUUCAAACUUCUGACUGAAAUUAGUAUACCCUCUGCAAGGGUAUAAAAAUGCGGAAUUGGGAUCGAGGGGUUCUAUGGGGAACGAUCAGGUUGAAAACUUGUCUCAUGAUCGACAAUGGCAAGCAACAAAUUGAAAAACUGUGAAACUGGGUCCGGGGCUUCGGUACGAAUUUAUAUUUGCAAUUGCAUUGAUUGCAUUAGAUCAAAGCUUCUGGGUUUUUGCUACGGGGUUAUGUCAUGGUAAAACUACCAGCAAUCAUAAAAUUCUUUGAUAAACUGGUUUAAUUGAUUUGACAUUCUACGAGUUCAAAUUCAAAUUUAUUCCAGUUAUGCUAUAUAUUUGUUCGGUGUCAGUUUUUUCUGAAGGUUUGGAGAACUGCCAAACUGCUCCAUUAGUUGAAUGCUAAUUGAUAAAUAGACAGACGAAGCCGACUAAUUAGGCUCCGAAACUCAUGGUGGGCGUUGCCGAACGACCGGCGGAACUUUAACUAUCCACUUUAAAGGGCAAAGAUCAGAGCGGGGGGAGUUUUCUGAUCUGGGGAGUUUUUUUGCCGCCGCAAUUGUGUGGAAAAGGGUUGAUUGCACUGUGUUCUCGCUUAUCACGAUGCCACACACCAGAUAUGUACUUCCCGAUAGAGUAUGAGAACAUUAGCUAAUGGAGCGCAACGAAACGAAUUUGACACCCAACCGGGCUUUUGGCCAUGUUGUUUUGCCAUGAAAAUGCCUUCUGUUACUCGUAGAUGAAGAGGUUAUACUAGGUUGUUGGGAGAGUAUGUUACAGGUGGAAGGAAUCGAUUUCGACCCCGUUAAGUAUACAUAUUCUUGAUCAGAACACCAGAACGCUGAUAUCUUGGAAGCUUAAAGAGCCAGAAUGUUGGGAUGUUAUACUUAAAACCUUAAAAAGUGUUAUAUCAAAGCGGACACCCCUCGUGAGAGGCCGAUGGCUUUUGCAGCGCAAUCUCGACCUCGAUGGAGUUUUCCAACUACCGAUGCCAAGUGCAUGUCGCUGCCAAUCGAGGGAAACACUACAAAACCGUAGAACUUGUCAGACGGCCCAGCAAGUAAAAAACAACACUGGAGGCAAAAGAAACAGCAGGGAAAGAAGAGCCUAGCUGUUCGGGGCAACGCUUGAGUGAGUUUUCCAGGCCGACAAACACCACUAGACAACUAACAACUAACACACUUGAACAACAACUAAGACAACAGCAAUGGCGAGCGCCACAAAGGCAACAACCCCUUCGACGAACUCCAUGAAAGAUGGUGGAAUAUAACGCAGUUAUAUUCGUGUAUGCGCUCAGUCUCAUUCCUUUGGAAUUCAAUAAUAGUGCAUUAAAAAAUAA